CAGCCUACACCAGAGCCACAGCAAAGCAGGAUCUGAGCCGCAUCUGUGACCUACCCCACAGCUCACAGCAACGCUGGAUCGUUAACCCACUGAGCAAGGGCAGGGAUUGAACCCGCAACCUCAUGAUUCCUAGUCGGAUUCAUUAACCACUGUGCCACGACGGGAACUCCGGGAAUCUUUGCUUUUUAAAGCAACCUGUUUCUUCCCGCUACAGGUUGAGAAUCUUUAGAAACCAGACUGCCUCAAAUACAGUUUCCCUGCACAAGCAAAGUGAGCCAUAGCUUCUUUGGUGUGAAACGCCUCUGAGUUUCAUUAGGGUGAAUUGGUCCACUGGGACUCUGCCCCGUUGGGUGAGCUGAGAUUACAGAGUUGAUUAGCAGCCAAGGGAACAGACUGCAGUCCCUGGAUACUGCUGAAUAAGCCCCAGCCGAGCGCGCCACGCUGAGUGUAUAGUCCCGUCAAAUUUAUGGACAACUCUGUUUAUAAUCUCGUGGCAUAUGCCUCUGUAGUAUUUGUUUAUAAAGGGCCAAGGCUGGGUGUAUUUUGUAUCACAAAUGAUAUACUGUAGAGUUUCCCAGGAUAAAUGAAAUAUGUCCAUUUUGUUUCAUCUGGAUCUCGUUAUUUUUUUUUUUUUCCAUGAUUAGCAUUUUGGCAGUUUUCACUGUUCUAUUCUGCUGUUCUGUGUGCCCAGGGGAGGCCAAGAGUUGAGCUUUUCCAAAAUCAGGGUAGGGCUGUGUGGAGAAAAACUACAGCUGAAAGGGCACUUUCUUUAUGUAGAUUCUCCACACUCAGGGAAGCAGAGGUUGUGAAUAUGAUUAGGGGGAAGUAACAGCCCCGUGAGAUCGAGGCUCACGUGAGUCACGGAGUGUGGAAAUGUUCUUACCAGAUGAUACUCAGGAUGCAGAUUUUCUGUCCCCCAGAAUCAGCUGAGCUUGUGAAAUUCUUCACAAUCCAGUUUCGCUGAGCUGCAGAAGGAGGCCCUGCUCUCAGUUAUGAAUUUAGUCCGCCUGAGAUAAAAAUGGGGUCACGAUGUUCAUUUGACACCUUGUUAAUUUCUGCUGCAGCCAAAGCCAACCAAAUUCGCUUAUAUGCAGUAACAUGACUUACUCUUUUUAAAAUAAUGCUAUAAUAGAACCAAAGUCUGUUUUUCAUUUUUGGUGAGUUACUGGAGUAGAACAGAGAAACAAAGCAGCCACAAGCUCACAGGGACAAAGGUCUCUUUUUCCACUUGUGAAAUUGACAUCAGCAACUCAGAAGUCAGUCUUCCUGGGCUGAUGGCUUUGUGCUUGAAAGAGAAUUGCCUGUGGUUCUUUUCAGUUUUUUAUUUAACCAAGAAUGACCCAUAAUUGAUAUUUUUAGGUAAGAUUUUAUGUUACAGAUUUAAAAUAGCUCACUGUUUUAUCUCACAGAACAUAUUCUAUUCAUAUUUUUAUUCGUACUUACAGACUACAGUUUCCUUGCAUUAUAGAGAUUCAUUUUAAAUGUGUAGAAUCAGGGAAUUAGAAACCAACCUGAGAUAAAUAAGCAUUGUAUCAUACCCAGAAUAGAGAAAAAAUCCCGAGAAAUAAUCUUUAGGAGUUUUGAUAAAGAAUGAAUGCAGAUAGCCAUUCAUAAUCAAAAGACUUCCCAGGUUUCAGUUACUGAAAUGCCUUUAUUUUCACAAAUACUAAAUACAACCUAAAUCCUGAUAUAUUUUUGAUAUAUAUUAAGAUGCAUUAAGAUGAUGCUGCCACUUCACAUGAUGAAAUAAAAUGUUUUAUUCAAAACAAAACCCAAAAUUUUCCAGUUAAAUAUUGUUUAUUUUUUGUCUUUUUAUGGCCGCACCCUCAGCAUAUGGAGGUUCCCAGGCUAGGGGACAAAUCAAAGCUGUAGCUGCUGGCCUACACCACAGCCACAGCAACACUGCAUCUGAGCUGCAUCUGCAACCUAUACCACAGCUCAUGGCAAUGGAUCCUUAACCCAGUGAGCAAGGCCAGGGAUUGAACCUGUAUCUUCAUGGAUGCUAAUCAGUUUGUUAACCACUGAGCCACACGGGAACUCCUGAUUAUUAUAUUUACACUGUUUCCAUAAUUACUGAAACUGCUAUUUAUACAAAUUAUUCUGCCUAUAUUAUUCAUCUAUCCGCUACUUAUUUAUCUAUCUGUAAUAUAUUAAUUACACAUUGUAUAGUAUAUUGCCAAAUGAUAUGUUAGUUCACAAUAUUAGUUCUUCCUUUCCAUUUUCUGCCUCUGCAGAAAUACUUCUGAUUUGUUUUACUUCUUGAAUCAGACAUAGCUCCAGCUCCUGAAAUAAUCCAUCCAAAAGCAGGAACUAGAUAAAAUCAUAAAGUUGCCUCUCCUCACAUCUUUCCUUUAUUCCAAUCCUUUGGUGUUUAAUAUUUGUUAUACCUUAAGUCACUGGAGUGUUUUACCAGUCUCCUGGAAAACUUAUAAAAAUUUGAGAGCCUUCCUGGCCAUCUUCCAAGUACUUCUGAUUCAACUAGCCUGAGGUGGGCCCCAGGCGGGCAGGGCAUCUGCAUAGGAAACGACCUCACAGGUGGUUCUGAUUCAAAGACGGUUCUUUAAGAACUGUGAUCUUAUAAAGAGCACAUCACAGGCUUUUGUACUGCAGCUCGCCACUCCUGGAAUUAAAUUCCCUCAGAACAUGAUCUAAUGAUUAUAACUAAUAAUACUGCAUCAUAUACUUGAAUGUUGCUAAGAGGAGUAGACCCUAAAUCUUCACACCACAAAAAAGAAGUAGUAAUUAUGUGAUGGAAUAAAGUUGUUAGAUAAUGCAAUGAUGGUAGUAGUUUUUUAAUUUAUAAAUAUAUCAAAUCAACGCUUUGUACACCUUAAACUUACACAAUGUUCUGUGUCAAUUAUAUCUCAAUAAAACUGGAGGAAAAAACAAGCAAAAAUCAAACAAACAAAAAUGAAACAAAGAAUCUGGAAAAAACAAAAACAAAAACAAAAAACCCAAAAAAACUGCAAGCCCCAAAUCUUCCCCAGAACAGAGAGCCAAAACCCCGUGAUUCUUGAUCUUCUCUCUCAGAAAUGAACAUGGUCAUGUUGGGGUUAUGAAUGAAAUAAUCAUCAAGACAGCUGGAUUUCCGACACUAGGGGGCAGAUUAACUGAAUAACCACAUUCCAACUACGUUGAUCCUCAAAGCCCUCACCUUAUUAUCAGCCAUCUGUCCUCUGACCCCUUGUUGUUGACAGUUACCUGGAUCACACAUGGAACUUGCUCUGCCUUUUUGCACACUGUGUCUAUGUGUCUGUUUACUCCUAGAUAAUCAGAGUCUAUGUGCUGGUUAGAUCCACGGUGUCCUCUCUUGGUCUAACAGGUGUCAUGGGCCAGAUUCCAGAGCCUGCCUUUUCCAUGCCUGCUGUGUAUACAUCAUUACCAUGCCUUACAAACUCUCCUCAAAGAAAUGAAUAGUAAUUUUUCUUAGCUCUUUGAGAUCUUGGCUUAGGCAAAGACGAAAGAAUUAUAAAAUAAAGUUUGUUAAACUGGACACAAUAAAAAUGAAAAGCUUUUGCUCUUUGAAAGAUACUAUAAAAAUGAAAAGAAAAUCAGAAACUAGAAAAAAAUAUUUACGAAACACAUAUGCAAUAAAUAUACGAUAACUAACUGGCUUCCAGAUGUAUAAAGAAUACUUAAUAAUUAAGGAAUGAAUAUUUCACUAUUAAGAAAAUAAACCACCAAAUAUUUAAAAACAAAAAUUUGAACAAAUGCUUCAUCAACAAUGCUAUAUGGAUGGCGAAUAAACAUGCCAAAAGAUACCAACUACCAUUAGUCAAUUAGUCAUUAAAAAAGUUCAAAUUAAAACUUUAAUGAGAUCUCACUUUUCUUCUAAGAAUGGUAAAAAACAAACAAAAAACAGGUAACAAUAUCAGGUGUUGCUAAAAUAUGAAGCAACUGAAAUUUCAUAAAGUUCUUACGGCAAUGAAAAAUGGCACAACCACUUUGCAGAAUAGUUUAGCAAUUUCUUACCAUCUUAAACACACACUUACCAUACAUUGCAGCAGUCCUACUUACCCAGAAGAAAUGAAAACAUAUGUAUAUACAAAAACCUGCAUUCAUAUGUUUAUAGCAACUUUACUCAUAAUCAUCAAAGUUUGGAAAUAACUCAAAUGUCCAUCACUUGUAGAAUGGAUCAGCAAAUAAUGCUACCUUCAAAUAAUGAGAUAUUAGUCAGCAAUAAAGGAAACUUUUCAUGUACGCAAAGUGAUAGAUGACUAUCAGAUGCACUUGGAUUUGUAGAAGCUAGAUCCCAUAAGCUAAAUACUGGAUAAAUCCAUUUGUAUAAUAUUCUGGUAAAAGCAAAAUAAGAGGAACAGGACAUAGACCACUAGUUGCUAGAGUCUAGGAUGGGAAGAGGAAAUUGAUUACAAGGGUGCAUAAGGGGAUUUUUCAAUAUCAUGAAAACGAUGUAUGUUUUUAUUCUGAUGGUAGUAACAUGAAUGUAUGUGUUAGGUUCGCCUCAGGAAAAACGGAAAAAACGAAACCUGAUUCCAAGCUCUCCCCCGACUCCUGGAAACAUACCUAAGACAUGACUAGGUCUUCCCCGAAAUCAUGUGACCCAAACUUUAAGACUAUCUCACCUAGGAGAGUGUCUAAACCCCUGCAGAUUGGUCUGUUCUUUUUUCACCCUAUUUACAUAGUUUGUUGAAAGUACACAAAUUGGUCUGUUCCUUUUCACUCUAUUAUGCAUAAAAAAUGGCCAAUCAGCUUCUGCACAGAAACCCCCUUUCUUGGCACCCACACAUAACCACCCUCCUCAAACGGCUGGCUGAUCCCUUUGUGAAUCAGCAGGACAGUAUACCCCACUAAUAAAGUCUUUUAUGCCUGAAUUUGGGUCUCAUCCUUUUGGCCAAACUUACAAUAUGCAUUUGUCAAAAUUCAUAGAAAUACGCACCUAAAAAGGGUGAAUUUUAUUGUGCACAAUGUAUACCUCAAAAAAACGAACUUCAAAAAUAAAGGUAAAUUUUGUCAAAUAUGGCAAGAACUAGAUCUUCUCAUGGAACACCCCCCUGUGAAUCUGUAGCGUAAUAGAAAGCACUCUUUUUCCUUCUAUACUCUUUUAAGAUAUAGGGUUAUUUUUGCAAUUAAAUUUCUUCCAAUUCAAAUCCCAUAAUCUUUAAAAUUAGACUUUUCCUGACCUCAUGGUGGUAGACCAUGAAUGAGUUGAAAAUAUUUUCCCUUAAUAGUUUUUAAGGAUCUGAAAUGGAGAAUAGGAAUAAAUGUUGUGAUAAUCAUACCAUUUUAAAUAGUCUAAUUCUGUGCCAUUUAAUGACAUCUAGAAUGACUAGCUUCUGUUAGAGUCAUGUGUGCUUGCCUGGCAGUACAAUACAGACAUGCACAUGAAACACAGGAAAUGGAUUGGGAACAUUCCCUUCAAAAAAAAAAGUUGCCCAGAAUGUGAUCUCCCACAGAAUGAGAGAAUAUAUUUGCAAAUGAACAACUGACAAGGGUUUAAUCUCCAAAAUAUAUAAACACCUCCUGCAGCUCAAUUAAAAAAAAAAAAUCAAAAAAAUGGGCAGGAGGUCUAAACAGACAUUUCUCCAAAGAAGACAUACAGAUGGCCAAAAAAUACAUGAAAAGAUGCUCAACAUCACUAUUAUUAGAGAAAUGUAAAUCAGAAUUACUAUGAGGUACUGCCUUAUACCAGCCAGAAUGGCCAUCAUCAAAAAGUCUACAAAAAAUAAAUGCUGGAGAGAGUGUGGAGAAAAGGAAACCCUUUUCUCAACUUUUUCACAACCUUGUAAAUCAAUUAUACAUCAAUAAAACUUAAAAACAAAAAGACCAGAACAGGAACACAACCUUUUCAACUUGAGUUAUUUUAAUAUUUAAGUCAUGCUUAAUAUUUAACUUGCUAAAAUCCUUUAAGAAUCAACUCACUGUUGCCUGAUUAUGCUUUAGCCACCUGUGAGGUCACUAGAAGAUUACUCCUGGUACAAGUAAUCCAGCCCGUGCUGUCUAGUACAUCAUGGAGAUUUGGUCAUCAC
rnacentral:lncRNA from 1 species